CUUCUCUUGAGAGCGGCGGACGGGUGAGUAAUGCCUAGGAAUCUGCCUGGUAGUGGGGGAUAACGCUCGGAAACGGACGCUAAUACCGCAUACGUCCUACGGGAGAAAGCAGGGGACCUUCGGGCCUUGCGCUAUCAGAUGAGCCUAGGUCGGAUUAGCUAGUUGGUGAGGUAAUGGCUCACCAAGGCGACGAUCCGUAACUGGUCUGAGAGGAUGAUCAGUCACACUGGAACUGAGACACGGUCCAGACUCCUACGGGAGGCAGCAGUGGGGAAUAUUGGACAAUGGGCGAAAGCCUGAUCCAGCCAUGCCGCGUGUGUGAAGAAGGUCUUCGGAUUGUAAAGCACUUUAAGUUGGGAGGAAGGGCAUUAACCUAAUACGUUGGUGUCUUGACGUUACCGACAGAAUAAGCACCGGCUAACUCUGUGCCAGCAGCCGCGGUAAUACAGAGGGUGCAAGCGUUAAUCGGAAUUACUGGGCGUAAAGCGCGCGUAGGUGGU
rnacentral:rRNA from 1 species